GCCCUCAUCUUUGCCUAAUGAUAUGGAUAUUCCUUUUCCUAUUAAAUCCCAUCUGUAAUAUAUAUUUUUUCAUUAUACCUCACCAUAUUGUAACUUAAUUAGCUCCUUCCUCCCCACCUCCCCCCCAACCCCAACCUGUGCAUUGCUGAUAAGACAUGCCUGGUUAGCUUUGGGUCUUGGACUCACAGGAGGUCUCAUAUGCAAUCAGGAGUGGGUUGUGGCUGGGAACUGAGCUAUCUGGUGGCACUAGUCCAUCAGUGUGGGGGGUACGAGCUUACCUGCCAGGGAGCGCGGUGUGUGAGUUAACUGCCUGCACCUUUAUUUUAAGGAUUUUGAGCCAACAUGUUGGUUUGACUGAUGUGAUUUGGUGAGACAUUUCGAAUAGGAUUGGGGUGGGCAUGUUUCCUUUUGAAAACAGGGCUUCAGGAUCAGUGUAUCUCAGCAGUUAAUAGAGUAGUGCUGGUAGUUAAUUAAUUAAUCCCAACAUUAAAAGUCUUCUCCUGAGGUGUUUGUCCAUUUCUGCAAGUCUCAUAUCUUUCAAGGGUGCAUUAUUUUGACAAACUGAAGUAUUUUAUAUUUUAAGUUCAUGAUCAAGCUGAAAGCUGUCUUUGCUUAUAAUCCCACCUUUGUUAUUUUAGCAACUGCUGGAGUUGAAAAAAAGAGCAUUACUGUUUUAUUGCAUGUGUAAGACUGAAUCCUGGGGAAAUCUAGAAUGCAACACUGACAGCCCAGUUAAAGGAAACAAUUAGUGUAGCAUGCAUCUCUGAAUCUCAUCAUUAAGCAUAAACCUUGUUUUGGUCUUUGAAGAGACUGAAGAAGUACAGAGAUUGGAAAACUCCAAAAUGCGAAGAAUUUUGGGUUAAAGUUUCCCAUGUGUCUCCAGCUGUGUUCCUGCCUUCAGCACAGGUCUAGGAGCCGUCCUGGAAACAGUCCCAGGGCAAGAGAGCUCCUGGGACCUGUGCCUGUCUGCAAGCAAAGAAGAAGGAAAAGUCUUUGGUAUCUUCCCUGGCAUGUUUAUUCCUACCUUUUAUUCCAGCAAACACAUCACUUCUUGCGUGUUCCCCUGUGACCCAAGUAUUGGAUGGAACUGAGAGUGAUCUAGGAUUCCAAAUCUACCUUAUGCCUAGGUUUCUUCAUUCAAGCUUACUUGGACUAGGUGGAUAUUUCUCAGAGAAUGGGCCAUUCUCCUUUAUACUAGGAAAAAAUAAUAUGGAGGUUGUAAAUUACAAAUAAAUACUGACAAUUCCAUUUUGUGUUACA
rnacentral:lncRNA from 1 species